rnacentral:lncRNA from 1 species
GUCUAUUUACGUGGUGUACUUUCAAGACGCGGGCAUAUAAAGCCAGUGGCCGAGCGAAGGAAAGCGGAGACAACAGAACCAUGUCCGGUUCGGGGAGUUUAUCGAUUAGCUUGGAUCCGCCCGACGUAAAAUUGGUUGUUUUGGGCCAUCGGAAAGUCGGGAAAACUGGUAAGAUGCAAAUGAUACAUUAUAGUAGACCGCGUUAUGCAUAUUUGUACGUAUAUUUGAAGUGUUUCAUGCUAACAACAGAUGGUGCUGAACCUGCAUUUAUUUGAGUGAGGAAGUGGUGUUGAAUAAUGCCGUGUUUGUUCAGAAUAAAAUAUAGACAACAUGUUUCGUAAUGUUUUGAAGAAGAGAUGAUUCUUGCUGCACUGUCCUCGCAUGCAGUACAGCAGACCAACAUCUCUCUCUUUUUGCUUUGAAAUAUUUGAAGCAUUUUCCAUCUAAAUAUUGCCAAGAACCUAAGACCUGAACAACAUUUAAAUGCUAGGAGACCAAUUUCAGCUUGAUAAACAAGAUGCUGUACACACGAGCAAUUUAUAUUCUCUUGUUUGAGAACUUACAUAGCUAGCAUUUUUAAUUCACGUAUAAUUGAUUGCAAGCUAAAAUUAUGUGCAUUAUGCAGAAUUGUACGUGUCAGUCUAUUUUAAAUCAUCGUAAGAUAUAUAUUGGUAUUACUACGUGUAGGAAUUUAGAUUAAUCUUGCGUAUACAAUUAUCGCGCAUGGUUGGUUUAAAGCCUAUUUUGCAGGUCUAAUAUUACCACAAUGAACAUCUACCUUAGACAAAUUCCUAAGCAUACUGACAGAGUUGUUCCAUGGGUGUUAAUAUUAAAAUGUGUCGAUUUUGCGUCCGUAUUGAUGAAAACAUGCACCAUAUUUAUUAAGAUCUAGACAUAACAUUUGCAACAUACUUAUGAAAAAGCGCACCAUACCGAAGAUCUAGACAUAAUAUGUGGUAAGGUAAACCGUGCCUGGCGCACAACAUAUCUGUACGUGCAUUCUAAACUCUCACGCACAAAUCCCAAACAAAAAUCACAAAAGUUACACUUUAUCGUGCCGGAAAAGAACACCAUACGUCUCCUUCAAUUGCAUGUUAAAUAUUUGUACAGAACUUGAGCAAUUGUACUCAAUGGCGUAAUUAAUUUCACUUAAAAACUUUAUCUUUCAAUCAUCCGGAAAUGUAUAUCAAGUGUAUAGUAAACGCCUUUACGUUAAUGGCACUUUCCUGACUAUAUUGCGCGCGUACAUCACCACAUUAGCAUUAUUUGCGGGUAGGAUUUGUGCGUAACGUUUGCGCAAGGACAGCGCAAUGCGUAGAUUGAUUUCAACGUCGCGUGUAUUUUUUGUGUAAAUUGCGCGCAUGCUUAGCAUAAACUGCACGUACAUCAUCAAAUUGCAUAAUUUGCGGGUAGGAUACAUGCGGAAUAUUUGCGCAACAAAACCGCAAAGCGUGGAUUAUUUUUAAUCUUGCGUGCAAAGUUUACAUAGAUUUCGCGCAGGAUUAGCAUAGACUGCACGUACCGCACCGAAUAGCAUAAGUAUUUUAUUUGCGGGUAGAGAAUACACGCAGAACGUUUGCGCAAGAAAAGCGCAAUUCGUAAGCCAUAUCUACACGUAAAAUCGUACUGAAAAUACAUUAAUAUUGAAACCAGACGCGACAAUUUAUCGCGCGGCUUUAUUAAACAUUGAAGCGUGCGCAAAUUUGACUUUAAUAUCGUUAUCGCGAAAGGAAUAUUCCUCAAGUCGUGCGUCUACGCAGAUGUUUAUAUUAUGAAACGUGCAAUUUAAUCACUUUCAUAUUGCGCGCAUUUUAUGCAAGAAUUGCGGGGAAACGUGACCGUUCUUAUAGCCCCUAUGAAACCACGAUAUCUCAAACGUGGUGGUCUAGUGAAGUUAAUAAUCUACAAUAAGCUGUCUGGUUUGUGUCUGAACUACCUGAAAAAGAUAUCUCAAACGUGGGCGUCCAAGUGUAGGUAGUAUUCUACAAUAAACUGUCAUGGUUUGUGUCGGCUGAACUCUCUGAAAAUGUAUCUCAGACGUGGGCGCGUCCAGUGUAGGUAGUAUUCUACAAUAAGCUGUCGUGGUUUGUGUCUGAACCACCUGAAAAAAAUAUCUCAGACGUGGUUGUCCAGUGUAGGGUUUAAACUAUCCGAAAAAGAUAUAAAAACACAUAACAGCUUUCUCAGUAGUUUAAUAGAAGGACUUUUACUUGAAACACUCAAGUUUCUUUAGCCAUUUUCUGGAACGAGCGUGCAGACACUGAAACCUGGGCCAGCUCAAUAUUUUAUGGAGACUAACACCUCUAUACUAACACAUUAUAAUAUCCGAUUCAAAUCUCGACAUUCUAUACCCUCGACCCUCGACUGUCAUUUGAGAAAUAUAUCUAUUUUUCUUUCACAGCUUUGACAGUGCGAUUUCUCACGAACAGAUUUAUUGGCGAAUACGAAGAAUCCCCAG